AAAGUCGAUUGUAUUUGAUUAUCGCUCAGGCCUGGGCAGUGCUGUAAUUACUGUAUGUGCGUUACAUGUUGUACUAAUUGAUUGGGGAGUAUCGCACUAAUCUGAUCAGUUAUGUAAUCUUGUUAAUUAGGAUGACCUACAAAUGGGUUUAAGGAUCUCCUGCCUGUUGGUUCUCAAACAAAAGGAUAGAUGUAGUGAGAUAGCAUGAUGUGAUGAUGGAUUUUGGAGUGUAUACGGUGAGAAUAAGUCACACUAAAUACGUCACACUGAGGCACCAGAUCAGGUUGUUGUGGAUGAGGGUAGACCUCGGCCCCAGACCGAUCUGGCACCAUGCGGGUAGGACAGUUGUAACCCGGCGCUACGGCGAUCGAUGCCGAGCUGCUGUUUAAAUGCUUGGAAUUUGAUAAUGGUUGCUGUUAUCUACUCUAGCCAUGGGAGUUACCUGGCUCCAGCAGACCUACUGUAAUAGGAGGGAACAGAGGGGGGAGGGGAGAAAGGUAACAAUUGAGACUAAAACCCCUUUCCCACUCGGCAAAAUAACCCAAUAACACCCACUAACAUCUGGCUUUUUCCUUCAGUGGGAAAGGUUACAAUCGGCAUUCAUUCCCAGGACAAAUGACUCUGACUGGCAGUGAUGGGAGAGAGUCACUGCCGUGGCUGGCUGACCUGACGUUUAAACCUGAAAUAAGCUUUAAAACAGUAAAGUGAUUGUCCUUAGCGUUAAGGUAUGUGUGUGUGUACGUGUGUGUGGGUUUGAGGGCAGUGAGGUUAAGUCGGUCCUCUGCCCCUGGAGAAGACAUCUACAGCACUAAUGAGCCAUCUUCUGUCGCCUGACACUGACCUCUCUCUCCGGCUCUUCACAUGCUGUAAAAAUGGGUGAAUGCACAAGAGCAUAUUACUCGGCUAGUAGCGCCGCUUUUGUCCCUCACAUGCUUUUUCUGAGCCAUUAACCUGAAGCAGUAGGUAAGGCACCCCGGCAGGCUGCUGUCUACAGGGUUUCAACCCACUGACUAGCCUUUUUCAUCAUCUGUUUCAUGACAGGGGACACAUAAAAAUAGGAUGAAACAAGGUAGAAGGCAACCUCUAUAGUGCUGACUGGGGCUGUAACUCAUUUUCAUUAAUCAAAGAUGAUCUAUUUAAUUAAGAACACACCAUGUGCAUAAAAUCUGAGUAAAAAAGUUUACUUUUUUACUCCGAUUUUAUGCAGAU